rnacentral:tRNA from 1 species
GGAGGAUUAGUCUAAUUGGUAAGGCAGCAGUCUUGAAAACUGCCGGGUUAACACCCUUGGGGGUUCGAGUCCCUCAUCCUCCGCCA